CUACGUGCCAGCAGCCGCGGUAAUACGGAAGGUCCGGGCGUUAUCCGGAUUUAUUGGGUUUAAAGGGAGCGUAGGCUGGAGAUUAAGUGUGUUGUGAAAUGUAGACGCUCAACGUCUGACUUGCAGCGCAUACUGGUUUCCUUGAGUACGCACAACGUUGGCGGAAUUCGUCGUGUAGCGGUGAAAUGCUUAGAUAUGACGAAGAACUCCGAUUGCGAAGGCAGCUGACGGGAGCGCAACUGACGCUGAAGCUCGAAGGUGCGGGUAUCGAACAGGAUUAGAUACCCUGGUAGUCCGCACAGUAAACGAUGGAUGCCCGCUGUUGGUACUUGGUAUCAGCGGCUAAGCGAAAGCAAUAAGUACCCCGCCUGGGGAGUACGACCGCAAGGUUGAAACUCAAAGGAAUUGACGGGGGCCCGCACAAGCGGUGGAGUAUGUGGUUUAAUUCGACGCAACGCGAAGAACCUUACCAGGUCUUGACAU
rnacentral:rRNA from 1 species